ensembl:lncRNA
AUGAAUGCUGUGCAAGCAGCAGCUUCUCUGGGAUCUGUACCAGUGGUGGUGUUCUUCCUGCAAGGACUGUUUUUUUGCAGGAAUGCACAUGACUCCGGGUCAAAUACUGCUUGAGUCAGGGAAAACCGAAGUGGUGGUGAUGGACAUUGUGUAGCUUUCUUUCUGAGUGGGAUGGAAGCCUGUACCCUCAGAAAGGAGGACCUUCUGAAUUUACAAAAACUUCCACAGCCUCACAAAUGCCACAGAGAAUGACUGGUCAUGAUUUAAUCACAAUGAAAUAAUCAGCUCAUCUCUGAUAUAAUUGAAUGCCAUGUACCACGAUUCAACUUCAUGAAGAAUGUCCAAAACAGAACUGGAGGGAUCCUUGGGAGAAGGCUUCUUUCAUAUUCUUCCAUAACACAUAAACUUAAAUAACACUUUUUAAUAUUAUAGGGAGCUCGAUUCUGCACAGGGGAGGAGAAGUCUUUUUGAGUGGUCCUGUGAGAGUCUAACUUGUUCUUCCUGUCUAACCAGGGAAGGAUGAAAAGACAGAAACAUCAAAAUAUCCCAGUCCCUGCUGAAUCUCUGUCACUGGUUUUACCAGACAGAUAUGGACUUUUUUUAUUUUGCAGUAAUAAUAAAAUGUGCUGGGACUGCAGAAGGCUUACAGCUGUUGCUGUCUCAUGAGCAACUUUGGGCUCCUUUGAAGCAGUUCAUCACCACACCAGAGGAGGUUCCUCCUCCCCUGCACUGCUGCAUUCCUGUCACAAUGUUCUACAAAGACUGUCUCUCCCCUUCCUCUGAACUGCACAGGGACAUUAGCAUGAAAACGAGGACUUUGUUCCUUAAGUGUUCAUCCAUUCCUCCAGCUUAUCCUCCCACCUGAAGUCCUCAUCUGUGCCAUCAAUGAGUUUCCCUGGAAAUUGGUUUGAUGAGGCUGCUGAAGUGCAAUCCACUUAUGUAUUAUAUGCAAUAAUCUCUCCAUAAUUAUAGACCUCCCUUUACUAUUAUGACAUCUUUUAACACUUUUGAAGUUCCCUCAGUCUCAUAAUUCAGCUUCAUUGACCAGAAAACAAAGAAACCCACCAGCUGCAGAGUUAAAAUCAUGAUGCUGUUGGCUUUAAUCUCUCUUUAAUCAUUAAAAUAUAAAUUAGCACUUGUACUUGUUACUUCCCAAGCAGCUUUCUCUUCUGGAUUUCUUUCAUCCUCUGCUCACAACUGCCACCUGCUUUUUCUGGUGGGCUGCCUUGCACCAGGGAGGAGAUUCCUUCCCAGGGUUUGUCAAGAAACAAGGCUCCGGGGCCUUGACAGCAAAAAAUCACAGUACAGGAGAGGAGUUGAGCAAGUGUAGAAGUAAGUCAAGGCUCUGGACAUCUCUGCCAUAAGGACACUCCUUUAGUACAUCCGUUUUUAGCUAGGGUGUCCCUCAAGGUAAGAAGUUUCUGAAGCCCUUUUGGGGCAGUGCUGAAGUUUUUAGCCAAAAUUGGAUGCAUGGUACACACCACUUCCACUAAACUUCCUUGCAUAUCCUCUGGUGGAGCUCAAGAUUGUUUUGGUCUUAUAGAAGUUUCCUCUAAGUGAAAAUCUGCUUUAUUUCUAAUGCAGUGAAGUGUGUAAACACAUGCUGCUUGUCCACAGUUAGUUGUUGCCUGAGGUCUUACACCAGGAGUAGAUUUUCUGCUCAUAGCUGCAUCUCCAUCCCAGCCAAGAGCAACUCUGGAGGAAAGGAUGUGUUAUCUUCUAAUGGGAUGAGACAUUCCAAACGUCAGGGUUUGGUUCACAGCUCUUAAGGCUCACAACUGUGUGUGUGGAAGAGUUUUAGUCUUACGUGCACAUCUCUGGAUAAAAAGAAUUAUUUGCUGAGCUGUGAGAAAGGCUGAAGUAGUAGAAAAGUCAUGCAGCGCACCUGACUUAAUUGUGUCCCUUAUGGAAUACAUAAAAUGAUGUGCAAAGGGAUGAGCCUUAUUAAGAAAGGCUGAACCUGUUGGUUAAAUCUUAGAAAAAUUCUUUUCUUCCAUAUUAUCUGAGCUUCUUUCUAUGUUUCCUAAAUGUACAAGAUGAAAUUUAAAGCUUAAAUCAAGGAAAGAGAUACUGUGUCUGGAUUUUGUGUAUUCAUGAUAUUUUCCACGAACUUUGAACAUGAUAUGGUUUGGUCCAUGGCCAGUUCUUAAAACAAAGCCCUUUUUAUUAGGUUUCUUUUUUUAAAAAUAAUAAUAUCUUCUAUACUAUUGCUCAGGCUAUAUGAAUUAGACAUGUGAAGCUGUGGCUCCAUUGAAAACAGGUUUUUUUCUCCAAUAACUGCUGAGGAAGCAGUUUUGUUCUCUGCCAGAAUGAGAUAGUUAUAACAUCUCUGAAAAUAAUCUUCCUAAUUCUGACAAUACUAUGAAAAUCCUGGUUUGUUUUACCACUCAUAAAAACUGGCUAUACAUAAUUUGUGAUGUCUUAAAAGGAUAUCCAGGGCUCUAUUUAUCUUUCACUUCAAUAAGCAGAGAAUUGGAAAAGAACAAUAGAAAGAAGCAACAGAUGUGCUUGGGUAUUUGAGCAUAACCCCAUUAGGGAGGACUCAGUGUGGUUUAUUGGAAUUUCAGUCCUACAAAGCCAAGCACAUGUGACUUUGUGGGGAACCCCAAAUUUGUCUGAUACAACAGGAACAUCAUUCAAAGUGGUGCAGCUCUGUGCCUGGCAGCAAAAUGAUCUGCCAAAAGCAAGCAAAAAAUACAAGGAGUAGGUGGAGGCAGAAGGUCCCUGAGCAGAAACCACAGAUUUGUAGGAUUGUGCUUGGAGUUCCACACCACUGAGAAAGGCCCAGCUCCAUUUUAUUUGCACCCUCCUGUCAGACAUUUAUUCACAUUGAUAAUCCUCUGUGCUUAGCAAUCCUCCCAAUAA